AAACUUUCAACAAUGGAUCUCUUGGCUCUCGCAUCGAUGAAGAACACAGCGAAUUGCGAUAAGUAGUAUGAAUUGCAAAUUCUGUGAAUCAUCGAAUCUUUGAACGCAUAUUGCGCUCUUUGGUACUCCGGAGAGCAUGCCUGUUUGAGGGUAAUUAACAUAAUCUUUAACCUUUUCUUGGUUAAA
rnacentral:rRNA from 1 species